CCUUUCCCACGGGUAACACUUCACACACGACAAACUCUCUCUUGCGCUUGGUUCUCUCUGCCCCCCAAUUACACUGAAACGAGUCUCCCGAUUCAGACGGGAGAUAAGUAUCUGAAGUCUGAUGGCAGACCCCGCCUGAGUCUGGCAGGUCACGAGUAGAGGGCCAAACUAAUGGCCCCCGGUACCAAAGAGGGAGCCAGCCCAGACCCUCCCACACGUGUGUUCCCUGUCAAAGGCCAACAGUGAUGCCCAAUUUCCACUUCGUCCAUCAGAAGGGGACAGCUUGCUGCUGUGGGAGAGUGUGUUCCUUUCAAGGGGCAGAGGCGUGCCCCUGUUGUGAAAGCCUUCCAUCCCGUUCCAUAAUGUCAGACAACGGGAGACCCUUCUUUCGGUAAACACGUGAGGGAGGGAGCAGCACGCCGUCUGGCAUUGGAAGGGGGUAGCAGACCGGCUGGGCUGUAGGGUCUGACCGUCUCCUGGAGGUUGGAGGACGAGCUGGAGACGUCCGCAGCACGGUAGAAUUUAAGACUCGUCACCACGACGACCUGUCCAAGGAAACAGAGGAUGAGCUAGACCAGGGGUCAGCAACCUGUUCAACAUGCAGUGCCAGUUCGACAGUUUUCGUUAAUGAGUGCGCCUUAAG
ensembl:lncRNA